rnacentral:rRNA from 1 species
UUGCAUAUCCAAAUAACGGAGGAAAAGAAACCAACAGGGAUUGCCUUAGUAGCGGCGAGUGAAGCGGCAAAAGCUCAAAUUUGAAAUCUGGCGCCUUCGGUGUCCGAGUUGUAAUUUGAAGAUUGUAACCUUGGGGUUGGCUCUUGUCUAUGUUUCUUGGAACAGGACGUCACAGAGGGUGAGAAUCCCGUGCGAUGAGAUGCCCAAUUCUAUGUAAGGUGCUUUCGAAGAGUCGAGUUGUUUGGGAAUGCAGCUCUAAGUGGGUGGUAAAUUCCAUCUAAAGCUAAAUAUUGGCGAGAGACCGAUAGCGAACAAGUACAGUGAUGGAAAGAUGAAAAGAACUUUGAAAAGAGAGUGAAAAAGUACGUGAAAUUGUUGAAAGGGAAGGGUUUGAGAUCAGACUCGAUAUUUUGUGAGCCUUGCCUUCGUGGCGGGGUGACCCGCAGCUUAUCGGGCCAGCAUCGGUUUGGGCGGUAGGAUAAUGGCGUAGGAAUGUGACUUUACUUCGGUGAAGUGUUAUAGCCUGCGUUGAUGCUGCCUGCCUAGACCGAGGACUGCGAUUUUAUCAAGGAUGCUGGCAUAAGAUCCCA